UACGGAGGGUGCAAGCGUUGUCCGGAUUUAUUGGGUUUAAAGGGUGCGUAGGCGGUCUUUUAAGUCAGUGGUGAAAGCCUCCAGCUUAACUGGAGAAAUGCCAUUGAUACUGGGAGACUUGAGUACAGACGAGGUAGGCGGAAUUGACAGUGUAGCGGUGAAAUGCAUAGAUAUUGUCAAGAACACCGAUUGCGAAGGCAGCUUACUAGACUGUAACUGACGCUGAGGCACGAAAGUGUGGGGAUCAAACAGG
rnacentral:rRNA from 1 species